rnacentral:rRNA from 1 species
UACGUAGGGGGCAAGCGUUGUCCGGAUUUAUUGGGCGUAAAGAGCGUGUAGGCGGCCAGAUAGGUCUGUUGUGAAAACUGGAGGCUUAACCUUCAGAGGUCGAUGGAAACCAUCUGGCUAGAGUCCGGAAGAGGAGAAUGGAAUUCCUGGUGUAGCGGUGAAAUGCGCAGAUAUCAGGAAGAACACCCGUGGCGAAGGCGGUUCUCUGGGACGGUACUGACGCUGAGACGCGAAAGCGUGGGGAGCGAACGGG